UACGUAGGGUGCAAGCGUUAAUCGGAAUUACUGGGCGUAAAGCGUGCGCAGGCGGUUAUGUAAGACAGGUGUGAAAUCCCAGGGCUUAACCUUGGAACUGCAUUUGUGACUGCAUAGCUAGAGUACGGUAGAGGGGGAUGGAAUUCCGCGUGUAGCAGUGAAAUGCGUAGAUAUGCGGAGGAACACCGAUGGCGAAGGCAAUCCCCCUGGACCUGUACUGACGCUCAUGCACGAAAGCGUGGGGGAGCAAAC
rnacentral:rRNA from 1 species